GCGGACGUCAGAAGCGGGGGUCUGCCAGCCUCGUAAUCGGGCGAGUUCCCGGUUCAAAUCCGGGCGUCGGCU
rnacentral:tRNA from 1 species